rnacentral:rRNA from 1 species
CAAGAGCGUAUAUUAAAGUUGCUGCGGUUAAAAAGCUCGUAGUUGGAUUUCAGUCUAGGAAGGUUAACUCGCCGAAAGGUUGUACGUUGAUUUUCCUCAGACUUCGUCAGAAGCUCGUGCUGCGCUUAACUGUGUGGUACGAUGUUCUGACCUUUUACCUUGAGGAAAGUAGAGUGUUUCAGGCAGGCUACCCAGCUUGAAUACAUUAGCAUGGAAUAAUGAAAUGGAUCUCGGUUCGAUUUCGUUGGUUCUAGAGCUGAGGUGAUGAUCAAUAGGAACAGGCGAAGGUAUUCGUACUUGAGAGUGAGGAGUGAAAUCCGAUGAUCUCUUAAAGACGAUCCGAGGCGAAAGCAUUUGUCAAGGAUGUUUUCAUUGA